rnacentral:lncRNA from 1 species
AGCAGAGCCAUGGAAAUGUAGAUGGAAGCAUCUUGGGCUAAUAAAGUACAUCUAUGACCACCUCCC